CUAUCUUGGUCGGGGUGCCCCGUCAUUGGCGUUGGAACGCGAAUGGUACGGGCUGAGAUUAAACCCGCUGAACCUGAUCCGGCUUGGACCGGCGUAGGAAAUCGAGAUAUUCCGUAU
rnacentral:ncRNA from 2 species